rnacentral:misc_RNA from 1 species
ACACCCUCAAGCUCCGCUUGGUGUUGGGCGUCUGUCCCCGCUUUUCGCGAGGACUCGCCCCAAAUCCAUUGGCAGCGGCAUCGCCGGCUUCUCGCGCAGCACAAUGCGUUAUGGAAGGCCACCGGCGGGCUCGCGUCCAUCAAGCAACCCCCAA